rnacentral:piRNA from 1 species
UGGACUUGGUAAUGUGCAAAAGUUGCC